GCAUCAGUGGUUUAGUGGUAAAAUCCAUCGUUGCCAUCAGGCGAACUUCGAUGGGCCCCGUGUUCGAUUCACGGCUGAUGCA
rnacentral:tRNA from 2 species